rnacentral:rRNA from 1 species
UAAAACUUUCAACAAUGGAUCUCUUGGUUCCGGCAUCGAUGAAGAACGCAGCGAAAUGCGAUAACUAAUGUGAAUUGCAGAAUUCAGUGAAUCAUCGAGUCUUUGAACGCACAUUGCGCCCCCUGGUAUUCCGGGGGGCAUGCCUGUCCGAGCGUCAUU